GUCAUCCUACGGGACGCAGCAGUGAGGAAUAUUGGUCAAUGGACGAGAGUCUGAACCAGCCAAGUAGCGUGAAGGAUGACUGCGCUAUGGGUUGUAAUCUUCUUUUAUAUGGGAAUAAAACGUUCCACGUGUGGGAUUUUGUAUGCACCAUAUGAAUAAGGAUCGGCUAACUCCGUGCCAGCAGCCGCGGUAAUACGGAGGAUGCGAGCGUUAUCCGGAUUUAUUGGGUUUAAAGGGUGCGCAGGCGGGCUGUUAAGCCGGCGGUAAAAAUUCAGGG
rnacentral:rRNA from 1 species